GAUGAACGCUGGCGGCGUGCCUAAUACAUGCAAGUCGAGCGAACAGACGAGGAGCUUGCUCCUCUGACGUUAGCGGCGGACGGGUGAGUAACACGUGGAUAACCUACCUAUAAGACUGGGAUAACUUCGGGAAACCGGAGCUAAUACCGGAUAAUAUAUUGAACCGCAUGGUUCAAUAGUGAAAGACGGUUUUGCUGUCACUUAUAGAUGGAUCCGCGCCGCAUUAGCUAGUUGGGAAGGUAACGGCUUACCAAGGCGACGAUGCGUAGCCGACCUGAGAGGGUGGUCGGCCACACUGGAACUGAGACACGGUCCAGACUCCUACGGGAGGCAGCAGUAGGGAAUCUUCCGCAAUGGGCGAAAGCCUGACGGAGCAACGCCGCGUGAGUGAUGAAGGUCUUCGGAUCGUAAAACUCUGUUAUUAGGGAAGAACAAAUGUGUAAGUAACUAUGCACGUCUUGACGGUACCUAAUCAGAAAGCCACGGCUAACUACGUG
rnacentral:rRNA from 1 species